rnacentral:rRNA from 1 species
UACGUAGGGUGCAGGCGUUACUCGGAAUUACUGGGCGUAAAGCGCGCGUAGGCGGCUUUGCAAGCCGGAUGUGAAAUCCCCGGGCUUAACCUGGGAACUGCAUUCGGGACUGCAUUGCUAGAGUAUGGGAGAGGGAAGUGGAAUUUCAGGUGUAGCGGUGAAAUGCGUAGAUAUCUGAAGGAACAUCAGUGGCGAAAGCGACUUCCUGGACCAAUACUGACGCUCAUGUGCGAAAGCGUGGGGAGCAAACAGG